rnacentral:rRNA from 1 species
GUGGGGAAUCUUAGACAAUGGGCGCAAGCCUGAUCUAGCCAUGCCGCGUGAGUGAUGAAGGCCCUAGGGUUGUAAAGCUCUUUCAGCUGGGAAGAUAAUGACGGUACCUACAGAAGAAGCCCCGGCUAACUUCGUGCCAGCAGCCGCGGUAAUACGAAGGGGGCUAGCGUUGUUCGGAUUUACUGGACGUAAAGCGCACGUAGGCGGAUUGGUCAGUUAGAGGUGAAAUCCUGGAGCUCAACUCCAGAACUGCCUUUAAUACUGCCAGUCUAGAGUCCAGAAGAGGUGAGUGGAACUCCUAGUGUAGAGGUGGAAUUCGUAGAUAUUAGGAAGAACACCAGUGGCGAAGGCGGCUCACUGGUCUGGUACUGACGCUGAGGUGCGAAAGCGUGGGGAGCAAACAGGAUUAGAAACCCCUGUAGUCC